GGAAUCUACCCAGCUCUACGGAAUAACCCAGGGAAACUUGGACUAAUACCGUAUACGUCCUUCGGGAGAAAGAUUUAUCGGAGUUGGAUGAGCCCGCGUUGGAUUAGCUAGUUGGUGGGGUAAAGGCCUACCAAGGCGACGAUCCAUAGCUGGUCUGAGAGGAUGAUCAGCCACACUGGGACUGAGACACGGCCCAGACUCCUACGGGAGGCAGCAGUGGGGAAUAUUGGACAAUGGGCGCAAGCCUGAUCCAGCCAUGCCGCGUGAGUGAUGAAGGCCCUAGGGUUGUAAAGCUCUUUCAACGGUGAAGAUAAUGACGGUAACCGUAGAAGAAGCCCCGGCUAACUUCGUGCCAGCAGCCGCGGUAAUACGAAGGGGGCUAGCGUUGUUCGGAAUUACUGGGCGUAAAGCGCACGUAGGCGGAUCGAUCAGUUAGGGGUGAAAUCCCAGGGCUCAACCCUGGAACUGCCUCUAAUACUGUCGAUCUGGAGUUCGAGAGAGGUGAGUGGAAUUCCGAGUGUAGAGGUGAAAUUCGUAGAUAUUCGGAGGAACACCAGUGGCGAAGGCGGCUCACUGGCUCGAUACUGACGCUGAGGUGCGA
rnacentral:rRNA from 2 species